rfam:Salmo salar isolate Sally breed double haploid chromosome ssa28, whole genome shotgun sequence.
UAUGCACUCUACUGUAAGUUGCUCUGGAUAAGAGCGUCUGCUAAAAUGACUAAAA